UGUAACUGUUGCGUUUUCAGAUAUUUUACUUUUCCGGAAUCACCGUCGGUUUCAUGCUGAUCAUGUCAGCCAUAGUAUCGACUCGAGAUCCCAGGUUCUUAUACAUAGGCUGCCUUAUGCUACCGGUUAGUGCUUUCCUGUUGGCAGUCCAGUGCAGGGUACGUCAAGACGCCGACCGCCGAAAAAGACACCGGCAGCUCAACGGUCGUCAUAGAACAAUAGGUGCCAGCGCUACCGUAGUCAACACACACCCUCCUCCCGCCAUACCAGAUGCAAUACCUUUGCAAAAUAUGAUAAUGGUGGGAAACGAUACCUUGCGCAGACAAUACCAGGGCCACGUGUACCAAUACGUCGGCCAGAAGGACAACGAGUCUACUUACACAAACCAGUACGAUUCGGCUAACGUACAACAAAUCGAUGGGGUUCCUUGGUGGAGGCGAGAUGAUAAUCGUGUGUACCACAACAACCACGCCGCUCCUCAUUCUUAAAGACUAAGAGUCACUUGUUACGAUUCCAAUUGAAUUAGACUAUUGUAAAAGAAAUAAUUUUAUACUUUAGCACGUGUAUAUAAAUGUUAAUAUAUUUGUUUUUGUAAUUUAUUUGUUCAAUAUAAAUUAACAUAUUUUAUUUA